rnacentral:lncRNA from 1 species
GGAGGUGGGUUCAUGUUUCUGAUGUUCACUUGUCCGAGCCGUAAGAAAAUUCAUCCUUUCCUAGAAAAAGACAAAACUCAAAAAAGUGGUCCUAACUCCUAAGAGUUCACGCGUGGCUCUUCCACCGUCGUGAUCCACGUGGAGAGAUGAGCUUUCGUGUACGACUCCGUGGCGUGAAGGCACGUGAUUGCUUCCAGUUCAUUGGUCGAGAUCGACGUCGUUUGUCUUAAAUUACAAAAACCUUUCU